rnacentral:rRNA from 1 species
AAGCUCGUAGUUGAAUUUCGGCUCUGGCUGGGCGGUCCACCUUUGGAUGGUACUGCUCUGGCUGGGGUUUACCUUUCUGGUGAGCCGCCAUGCCCUUUGCUGGGUGUGGCGGGGAACCAGGACUUUUACCUUGAAAAAAUUAGAGUGUUUAAAGCAGGCCAAAUUGCUUGAAUACAUUAGCAUGGAAUAAUGGAAUAGGACCUCGGUUCUAUUUUGUUGGUUUCUAGGACCGAAGUAAUGGUUAAUAGGGAUAGUUGGG